GGCCGCGGGCGGUAAAAGACCCCUCAAGAACCGGGGGAAAUAACCAACCCAACCAACCAAACCUCGCGUAGGUCACUCGGGCGGGUGAAACCGGCUGGAGCGGGUGGCGCGGUGGUGGUUCGGGCGUGCAGGCUGGCCGCGAGGCCGGGCCCAACUCGGCGCUCCCGAGAGGCACAUAUGCAUCGGCCCCCGCCGGGACGGCAAUCCCAGUGCGAGGGCCUGACCAACGAGGAAGAAGAGAGCUUCCCC
rnacentral:ncRNA from 1 species